rnacentral:misc_RNA from 1 species
CUAAAUGCGAUAAGUAAUGUGAAUUGCAGAAUUCAGUGAAUCAUCGAAUCUUUGAACGCACCUUGCGCUCCUUGGUAUUCCUUGGAGCAUGCCUGUUUGAGUAUCAUGAAAUCUUCAAAGUAAAUCUUUUGUUAACUCAAUUGGUUUCUACUUUGGUAUUGGAGGUCUUUGCAGCUUCACACCUGCUCCUCUUUGUUCAUUAGCUGGAUCUCAGUGUUAUGCUUGGUUCCACUCGGCGUGAUAAGUUAUCUAUCGCUGAGGACACUGUAAAAGGUGGCCAAGGUAAAUGCAGAUGAACCGCUUCUAAUAGUCCAUUGACUUGGACAAUACUUUUAUGAUCUGAUCUCAAAUCAGGUAGGACUACCCGCUGAACUUAAGC